rnacentral:rRNA from 1 species
CACGUAGGGCGCAAGCGUUGUCCGGAAUUAUUGGGCGUAAAGAGCUCGUAGGCGGUCCGUCACGUCCGCUGUGAAAACCCAGGGCUCAACCCUGGGCUUGCAGUGGAUACGGGCGAACUAGAGGUAGGUAGGGGAGAAUGGAAUUCCCGGUGUAGCGGUGAAAUGCGCAGAUAUCGGGAGGAACACCGGUGGCGAAGGCGGUUCUCUGGGCCUUACCUGACGCUGAGGAGCGAAAGCGUGGGGAGCGAACAGGAUUAGAUACCCUGGUAGUCCACGCUGUAAACGUUGGGCGCUAGGUGUGGGGUCCUUCCACGGAUUCCGUGCCGCAGCUAACGCAUUAAGCGCCCCGCCUGGGGAGUACGGCCGCAAGGCUAAA